AUUGAACGCUGGCGGCAGGCCUAACACAUGCAAGUCGAACGAGUGGCGGACGGGUGUGUACUGUCUGUGAAAUUGCCCGUUGGAGGGGGAUAACUACUGGAAACGGUAGCUAAUACCGCAUACCAUCGGAUGUGCCCAGAUGGGAUUAGCUAGUGGGUGGUGUAAAGGCUCACCUAGGCGACGAUCCCUAGCUGGUCUGAGAGGAUGACCAGCCACACUGGAACUGAGACACGGUCCAGACUCCUACGGGAGGCAGCAGUGGGGAAUAUUGCACAAUGGGCGAAAGCCUGAUGCAGCCAUGCCGCGUGUAUGAAGAAGGCCUUCGGGUUGUAAAGUACUUUCAGCGGGGAGGCGUUACCCGCAGAAGAAGCACCGGCUAACUCCGUGCCAGCAGCCGCGGUAAUAC
rnacentral:rRNA from 1 species